rnacentral:lncRNA from 1 species
AGAUCGAUAGGGCUGCACAGAGGUGGCACAGUUGUGCCAGAGGGCCAGACUUUGGCAGCGUGUAAGGUCUGAGGACAGGGGCACCGGAGGCCGAGGAUGAGAGGCCAGUGCCUGUUUCCAGGCAGCCAGGGCCUCAGAAACUCCGGCCGGAGCACUCACCCGUCGGUGGAGGCCGUUACCAGGGCCACCUUAUUUGCGAGCGGGUCCCGGCGGGUCAUCCCGGAGCUGGCCAUCCGCACCGAAUUCCAAGCCCGGGCACAGAGGCCUAGCAGCCCCGCCUUGUGCAUGGAUCAGACCAGCAAGUGCCACUUCGGAUAAACCCUUUGGACUCCUAACUCCAAUCAGGUGUCUGCUUUGUUGAGGACUCACAGACACAGUCUCCUUUCUUCAAGAUCUUUACAAUGCAAGACCUCACUAACACACAGGGAUGGUCUCCCAGAGGGUCUGUGCUGUUCCUUCACUCAGAACAUCAAGAUGCACUGAAGUAAGGAUCCUCUAUUCUACAGUUCCUGCUAGCUGAGCUAUUCCAUGGGGGCUUCAGCAGGAAAUUCCAAGGUUGGCUUUGACAAGCUAAGGCCGGCUGGUGGAGCACAUCGAGUUCUGGAGGUUCAUGUGUGUUUUCAUGAAGAUCUGUCUGCCCGUAGCAGAUAAAGAGUUGUUGCCCCACUCCUCCUGGGGUCUUCUAUUUUCCUGGGAGGAAUUUCUGGAUUAACUGAACACACACACACACACACACACCCUUUUGAAGCAUCAACAGUAAUUCUGAGUUCUUAGGGACAAUGCAGAUUAAAUCCACAAUAAGAAAGACAACUAUGGCCAGGUGUGGUGGCUCACGCCUGUAAUCCCAGAACUUUGGGAGGCUGAGGCGGAUGGAUCACCUGAGGUCAGGAGUUAGAGACCAACCUGACCAACAUGGAGAAACCCCGUUUCUACUAAAAAUGCAAAAUUAGCCGGGCAUGGUGGCAGGCGCCUGUAAUCCCAAAUACUCGGGAGGCUGAGGCAGGAGAAUCACUUAAACCCGGGAGGCAGAGGUUGCAGUGAGCCAAGAUCGCGCCAUUGCACUCCAGCCUGGGCAAGAAGAGCAAAACUCCAUCUCAAAAAAAAAAAAAGAGUACUAUUGAUCCAGAGGUGACCAGACUAGCCUCACUGGAGAUAAUAGGUGACAUUAUUAUGCAAAGUGGUUUCAGUUCCCUUGUCUUGUUUUUGGAAUAGUAUAAGAGGCCUACAAUACGAAUAAAUAAGGCCCAUCACAAGCCUCACCAAAGGACAAAACUAAUCCACUUCUGAAGAAGGCUCUUUGUUGGGCCAGAUCAAAUCCUUGGACAGAACUGUACUCUUAAUCUCUGUAGUGAAAGUGGGGGGUAGUUUAAGAAUUUAUUAACCUUCUACCUUGAGCAAUCCCUCAGAAGUAAGAGGUGUCAGGCCUCUGAGCCGAAGCUCAGCCAUUGUAACCCCUGUGACCUGCACAUAUAUGUCCAGAUGGCCUGCAGGAGCCAAGAAGUCUGGGGCAGCUGAAAAACCACACAAGAAGUAAAACAGCCAGUUCCUGCCUUAACUGAUUAACCAACAUUACAACAUUCCACCAUUGUGACCUGUCCCUGUCCUACCUUAACUGAUCAAUCGACCUUGUGACAGUCUUCUUCUGGACAAUGGGUCUUAUCAUCUCCCCACCAUGUACCUUGUGACCCCCUCCUCUGCUAACAAUAGAUAACCACUUUUUACUGUAAUUUUCCAUUACCUACCCAACUCCUAUAAAGCAACCCCUUCCCCAUCUCCCUUCACUGACUCUGUUUUCAGACUCAGCCCACUUGCACUCAAGUGAAUAAACAGCCUUGUUGCUCACACAAA